UUCAUUAUGGCCACCACAUCGUAACUAGUCAAACAUACGUGUGCAGAUUCUACCCUACUAAGCCCGUAUUUGUAUUUCGACACAUGGGCGCUGUCGGCGAACAGCUGCCUCUUUAAUAAUGACGUCUGUUUCUGAUAGUAGUAUUGGUAUAGUUUGAAUCAGGCAACGCCGGACUCUACCUACAUUCGCGCAAUGUACGUCAGCCGAUGGUCGAACGGUCAGACCUUCGCACGAUAAACCACUUAAAGGUCGAUUCAAUCCACGUGCUUGUAAAUGAUUUUCAGAUCGACUAUACUUUGACGUCAGAUUCGAAAAGUACUCAAAAUCAGACAGGCCGACAAGGGUUGAUGCCUUGUUAGCUAAGUGCCAACCCAUGCUAUUGCCGUCACACACACAGCGAAAGAAUAAGCGGUAACGAUCUGUUCUUCCACUUCAUCGUACCUGUACCAUGGGGAUUCUACUCUGUGACAGUUAGGUAUGCCAUUGCCGAUCUAGGUGCCGAGAAACCCUUUGACGGCGUUGACUAAAAAUGGAAGCAAUGAAGGACAAGCGGAGGAUCAGAAAAACUAGUGUGUCAUUCAACGAAAACAACUGAAGGACAACCUCUUUUCGACGCUAUGGAAAAUUCGAAAGGACUCUACAUUUUGGAGCAGGAUCCAUUACCGCCGUUUACAGUGGAGAGCUAUGUGUAAAAUUAUGACACCCAAUGGCCAAUACAGGGAGGCAUCGAGUACUUCAUCGAAAGCGGAUUUUGGAGCAGGAUCCAUUACCGCCGUUUACAGUGGAGAGCUAUGUGUAAAAUUAUGACACCCAAUGGCCAAUACAGGGAGGCAUCGAGUACUUCAUCGAAAGCGGGUAUACUCAGUAAGCAUUUCACGCGGGCUUACCUACAUUUAAGUCCGUUUGAUUUGCAGAGUAUAAAUAUUAUUCAAUGCUUUUUUAUUGCAUCGGCGUGGUAAUACUUGGAAGUAUUUCCAUUUGCUUAAGUGAAAACUCGAGUUCGAAGCAGCAAGAUAUAAACCAUUUAGCCAAUUCCACUAAACGAGAAAGCGGAAGAACAAAGAAGAAUAGAGUAUUCUUUAGGCAUACUUUAGGAGUAUUUUAGGGUGAUUAACAAACGUUCUAUCUAACAAGCAACACGUAAUAUUGCGUACAGUGUCGCCCUGUUUAUCCAUUCUUAAGCAAUAACGCUUCCUUUAAAGCAAAAAAACAAAGGAAAUACUUAUCUUAGAGAACGCCAAAGCUUGUUUACUAUCUUUAGACGGCAUUAAAAAAAUACACGAAAGAUCUCAUCUUAUCCUACUAUACCUCACAGUCCCGACAAGAACUCUAGAGAAAGAAGCAAAUAUAACCAGUAGAUCCCAAAAAGCCAACACACGCAGUAGCCAAUGGAUGUUGAAUGGAGAAAACUACAUAAAAGGGAAGUGACCUUUCAACGUUGAAAACCAUGAUAGCGUCCUGGAACAGCGCUUUUUUUACCAGUUCAAAGAGGCGAGGCAGGAAACAUCUAUAAGAAGCCACGUCACAACAAAAUGAACAACAAACUUGAAUGAACAGCUCAGAGCAGCCCACUAAUUCAUGUGACCGAAAUUCAGCUAGAUAAAUAGUGCAAAAAAAAACACGUAAAAAUCUUUUCCUAAGACAACAAGGUGCACACUACUAAAAAAAAUUUUCCUACUUCUAGGGGGAAAUUGCAGGGCUAAAUAAGCUAAAUCAUACCAAGCGAACAGCUGUGACCCUCACAUUGAACAACGAAAAAACAACGGCAACCACGUGGAACGUAUAAAAUCACACAUGGUUGAUGUUGCAAAUAAGUUAUCAAGUCCCAGCGGAAAAAGGACAAUUAAUUAAUAUGACUUGUGUUGAAGGAUAUUGGAAUACCAACUACCGUAUAAAAAGUACGGAACAUCCUUAGGACAAUGUCAAAUAGGUCCGCCGCAACACCGAAUCCAGUAUUGACAAUCGUUUCAAUCCAGGCAAGCACAUAUCGCAAACCAAUUCAAUAACAUUCUAGCUGGAACUAAUGAACCCUUGUGCGAGUGAGGUCAGAGGAGGUUAUCCUUAAUGCAGAAAAGUUGGUCUAGAAUAAAGACCUUUACGAUCCACCACAAGCUUCGUAGAUCAAUGAUGUGGAUAAUCUACAGCAGGAUAAUGGAACGAAAAAUCGUAUCUGAAAUACAAAGCAUACUCAAGAGGAAUAAGUGAGAUGAUGAAAAUACUUUUCUACUGAUGUAAUGAUUGAGAUAGCUAAAGAAACCAGAAUAAAUGGCUAAUUUGCACCUCCUUCUACCUUCUUCUCCCAAAAUAUAUAACAAAACCAACAAGAGUAAGCCAUGAUAGAAAAACAAAUGGUAAGCGACGAAGAGUGUGAAUCUCACAAGCAAACGAAAAUGAAAGAUUGAAUAGUUACCAAUAAGGUGCACAAUUGACAUGACAAUAGGAGUUACUUGGAGAACGGAAUAUCACCUGCGGCGCGGUUCUUCAACGUGCCGCUGGAAGUAAAGCUUUUGAUUUACUCUGAUUAUUUGACAGUCACAGUCUUUUCUUCGCAAAGGACGCAAAAGUCAAUCAGUUAUGGAGCUAGCAGCGACUAAGUCGGGGGCAGUACCCUUAGCUAGCAAGAAAACAUGCGCACAGCUGACCCUUACAAUAGAAGGGGAUAAAAUCAAAACAUCGAUGACAGCGCUGUACUUGGUAACCAUCCUCAACAAGGCCAUGACGAGAUCGGUACACGUUCGUUGUGCAAACGCUACGAAAGACAGGCCUAACAAUUAUAAUGCCGAAAUAAAAUGCAAAAGGACAGCCCAUAAGCCAAAAUUUGCAAAGUGCGAGGAAUACUAAUACUCAGCAUGGUCAGCGCAUGGGCAGCACUUAGCAUGUUCAACACCUCGAAACCUAAGGUAAGGAAGAGGAAACAACAUGGGCAGGCUUGUUAGUUGGUCAAAAAGAAACGAUACUAGACGAAAGAUAAAAUAAAUGAUCUACUUGUAACGCUAAAUAUUAAGCCAGGAAUUAAAAGUUUGGGAUAGCACUAGUUUUCUACUUUCCGCAGUUUAUUACGGGGCACAGGCUUUUUUGAUGUAUGUACACAUGGUAGAGAGGAUUCUUCUGCGUACUAUGCCGAAAGACCUCUAUAUAUUGGCUCACUGCUCUGCUUCGGGAUAUACCAGAAACAGUUACCUGAACUCUGGCCUUGUGGCUGCUCUCACAAACGAGACUCGGGGUUUCAUAAGCCACAUUCAUUUGUCCAAAGAGACCUAGAAUAGAGGAAGCAGACUCACCAUGAAUCUGACAGUGGAGAGGAUAAGGCUUUUCUAAACUGGGUCUUUUAAUCUAACAGAGACAGAUACACUUAAAGUUUUGCUUUGCAAGAUGAGCCGGAAGAUAAUUUUUCCGGAAAACCCAACCGAGUUGAUCCCGAUCUAGUGACCCGGUGGCCCCAGCCACCCGCUAAAAACAGUCCGUAGUGCCAUUACUUGAAAAAGCAGAUUA